UACGUAGGGUGCAAGCGUUAUCCGGAAUUAUUGGGCGUAAAGAGCUCGUAGGCGGUUUGUCGCGUCUGCUGUGAAAACCCGAGGCUCAACCUCGGGCCUGCAGUGGGUACGGGCAGACUAGAGUGCGGUAGGGGAGAUUGGAAUUCCUGGUGUAGCGGUGGAAUGCGCAGAUAUCAGGAGGAGCACCGAUGGCGAAGGCAGAUCUCUGGGCCGUAACUGACGCUGAGGAGCGAAAGCAUGGGGAGCGAACAGG
rnacentral:rRNA from 1 species